AACGCACCUUGCGCCUCUUGGUAUUCCGAGAGGCAUGCCUGUUUGAGUGUCUUAUAUAAUCAAUCCCCAUGGGUUUCAUUACCUGGCGGUGGACUUGGACUUGGGUGUCUGCCAUCUGGCUCGCCCCAAAGACGUUAGCGGGAUAAGCUUAGCUGCCUGUGGCUCGACGUGAUAAGUUUCGUCGGACCUGGCUUCCUUAUGCCUGCUCAUAACCCCUGCCCCUUGUGGCAACACUGUAUGCUAGACCUCAAAUCAGGUAGGACUACCCGCUGAACUUAA
rnacentral:misc_RNA from 1 species